rnacentral:tRNA from 1 species
AGGGAAGUAGCUCAGCUGACAGAGCACAGGGCUUAUAAAUGUGAGGCCCUAGGUUCGAUUCCUAGUAACACUA